GUGAGCCAGUACAGGAUGGACCCGCGUCUGAUUAGCUAGUUGGUAAGGUAACGGCUUACCAAGGCGACGAUCAGUAGCCGACCUGAGAGGGUGAUCGGCCACAUUGGAACUGAGACACGGUCCAAACCCCUACGGGAGGCAGCAGUGGGGAAUAUUGCACAAUGGGCGAAAGCCGGAUGCAGCAACGCCGCGGGAGUGAUGAAGGCCUUCGGGUCGGAAAACUCUGUCCUCAAGGAAGAUAAUGACGGUACUUGAGGAGGAAGCCCCGGCUAACUACGUGCCAGCAGCCGCGGUAAUACGUAGGGGGCUAGCGGUAUCCG
rnacentral:rRNA from 1 species